rnacentral:rRNA from 1 species
UACAUGCAGUCGAGCGGAGUAUUUCCUUCGGGGAAUGCUUAGCGGCGGACGGGUGAGUAACACGUAGGUAACCUGCCUAUCAGAUCGGGAUAACUAUCGGAAACGAUAGCUAAGACCGGAUAACUGGUUUUCUCGCAUGAGAGAAUUAUGAAACACGGAGCAAUCUGUGGCUGAUAGAUGGGCCUGCGGCGCAUUAGCUAGUUGGUGGGGUAACGGCUCACCAGGGCGACGAUGCGUAGCCGACCUGAGAGGGUGAACGGCCACACUGGGACUGAGACACGGCCCAGACUCCUACGGGAGGCAGCAGUAGGGAAUCUUCCGCAGUGGACGCAAGUCUGACGGAGCAACGCCGCGUGAGUGAUGAAGGUUUUCGGAUCGUAAAGCUCUGUUGCCCUAGACGAACAGCAUGAGGAGUAACUGCCUUGUGUGUGACGGUAUAGGAGAAGAAAGCCCCGGCUAACUACGUGCCAGCAGCCGCGGUAAUACGUAGGGGGCAAGCGUUGUCCGGAAUUAUUGGGCGUAAAGCGCGCGCACGCGGUUAA